AUGAACGCUGGCGGCGUGCCUAAUCCCUGCAAGUCGCGCGCACGGACGAGAAGCUUGCUUCUCUGAUGUUAGCGGCGGACGGGUGAGUAACACGUGGAUAACCUACCUAUAAGACUGGGAUAACUUCGGGAAACCGGAGCUAAUACCGGAUGAUAUUUUGAACCGCAUGGUUCAAAAGUGAAAGACGGUCUUGCUGUCACUUAUAGAUGGAUCCGCGCUGCAUUAGCUAGUUGGUAAGGUAACGGCUUACCAAGGCAACGAUGCAUAGCCGACCUGAGAGGGUGAUCGGCCACACUGGAACUGAGACACGGUCCAGACUCCUACGGGAGGCAGCAGUAGGGAAUCUUCCGCAAUGGGCGAAAGCCUGACGGAGCAACGCCGCGUGAGUGAUGAAGGUCUUCGGAUCGUAAAACUCUGUUAUUAGGGAAGAACAUAUGUGUAAGUAACUGUGCACAUCUUGACGGUACCUAAUCAGAAAGCCACGGCUAACUACGUG
rnacentral:rRNA from 1 species